rnacentral:tRNA from 1 species
GAGGGUAUAGCUCAGUGGUAGAGCAUGUGCUUAGCAUGCACAAGGUCCUGGGUUCAAUCCCCGGUACCUCCU